GGGCGGUUAACUCAGCGGUAGAGUGCCAUCCUCACACGGUGGAAGUCGCAGGUUCAAACCCUGUACCGCCCACCA
rnacentral:tRNA from 7 species